rnacentral:rRNA from 1 species
CACGAACGCCGGCGGCAGGCUUAACGCAUGCAAGUCGAGCGCCCCGCAAGGGGAGCGGCAGACGGGUGAGUAACGCGUGGGAAUCUACCCAUCUCUACGGAAUAACGCAUGGAAACGUGUGCUAAUACCGUAUACGUCCUUCGGGAGAAAGAUUUAUCGGAGAUGGAUGAGCCCGCGUUGGAUUAGCUAGUUGGUGGGGUAAAGGCCUACCAAGGCGACGAUCCAUAGCUGGUCUGAGAGGAUGAUCAGCCACACUGGGACUGAGACACGGCCCAGACUCCUACGGGAGGCAGCAGUGGGGAAUAUUGGACAAUGGGCGCAAGCCUGAUCCAGCCAUGCCGCGUGAGUGAUGAAGGCCCUAGGGUUGUAGAGCUCUUUCAACGGUGAAGAUAAUGACGGUAACCGGAGAAGAAGCCCCGGCUAACUUCGUGCCAGCAGCCGCCCGUAACAC